GGUAUGAUGUUAGAAAAUAUUUGCUACUUCAGAGGGUAACACCCAAUGAGACCAAACAAAAUCACCAAGAUCUCUGACC
rnacentral:snoRNA from 1 species